rnacentral:rRNA from 1 species
AUGGCCUCGAGGAGCACCGCCCUCGUGCUCCUCCUCUCGCUGCUCCUCUCGUCCGUCGCCGUGAGCAGCGCGGCGAGGAAGCUGCAGGAGCAGGAGACGGCUCCGCCCUCGGAAGAAGAGCCGUCCGCACCACACCUGACCGGGCUGCCAGACUACGAGCUGCCGCCGAUGCCUAAGUUUGAGCUCCCGCCAUUCCCAGAGAUGCACCUGCCGCCGUUCCCGGGAACGCCGUGGAAGCCGGCGACGCGCACGCCCACCCUUACCGGGUUCUUCUUCCCACAGCCGGAGCCGGAGGCCAAUCCAUGA